rnacentral:rRNA from 1 species
AUUGAACGCUGGCGGCAGGCCUAACACAUGCAAGUCGAGCGGCAGCACGGGAAGCUUGCUUCCUGGUGGCGAGCGGCGGACGGGUGAGUAAUGCAUAGGAAUCUGCCCGAUAGUGGGGGAUAACCUGGGGAAACCCAGGCUAAUACCGCAUACGUCCUACGGGAGAAAGCAGGGGCUCUUCGGACCUUGCGCUAUCGGAUGAGCCUAUGUCGGAUUAGCUGGUUGGUGAGGUAAUGGCUCACCAAGGCGACGAUCCGUAGCUGGUCUGAGAGGAUGAUCAGCCACAUCGGGACUGAGACACGGCCCGAACUCCUACGGGAGGCAGCAGUGGGGAAUAUUGGACAAUGGGCGCAAGCCUGAUCCAGCCAUGCCGCGUGUGUGAAGAAGGCCCUCGGGUUGUAAAGCACUUUCAGUGGGGAAGAAAGCCUUGGGGCUAAUACCCUCGAGGAAGGACAUCACCCACAGAAGAAGCACCGGCUAACUCCGUGCCAGCAGCCGCGGUAAUACGGAGGGUGCGAGCGUUAAUCGGAAUUACUGGGCGUAAAGCGCGCGUAGGUGGCUUGAUAAGCCGGUUGUGAAAGCCCCGGGCUCAACCUGGGAACGGCAUCCGGAACUGUCAGGCUAGAGUGCAGGAGAGGAAGGUAGAAUUCCCGGUGUAGCGGUGAAAUGCGUAGAGAUCGGGAGGAAUACCAGUGGCGAAGGCGGCUUUCUGGACUGACACUGACACUGAGGUGCGAAAGCGUGGGUAGCAAACAGGAUUAGAUACCCUGGUAGUCCACGCCGUAAACGAUGUCGACUAGCCGUUGGGAGCCUCGAGUUCUUAGUGGCGCAGUUAACGCGAUAAGUCGACCGCCUGGGGAGUACGGCCGCAAGGUUAAAACUCAAAUGAAUUGACGGGGGCCCGCACAAGCGGUGGAGCAUGUGGUUUAAUUCGAUGCAACGCGAAGAACCUUACCUACCCUUGACAUCGUGCGAACUUGGUAGAGAUACCUUGGUGCCUUCGGGAACGCACAGACAGGUGCUGCAUGGCUGUCGUCAGCUCGUGUUGUGAAAUGUUGGGUUAAGUCCCGUAACGAGCGCAACCCUUGUCCCUAUUUGCCAGCGAUUCGGUCGGGAACUCUAGGGAGACUGCCGGUGACAAACCGGAGGAAGGUGGGGACGACGUCAAGUCAUCAUGGCCCUUACGGGUAGGGCUACACACGUGCUACAAUGGUCGGUACAAAGGGUUGCAAAGCGGCGACGUGGAGCUAAUCCCAUAAAGCUGAUCUCAGUCCGGAUCGGAGUCUGCAACUCGACUCCGUGAAGUCGGAAUCGCUAGUAAUCGUGAAUCAGAGUGUCACGGUGAAUACGUUCCCGGGCCUUGUACACACCGCCCGUCACACCAUGGGAGUGGACUGCACCAGAAGUGGUUAGCCUAACUUCGGAGGGCGAUCACCACGGUGUGGUUCAUGACUGGGGUGAAGUCGUAACAAGGUAGCCGUAGGGGAACC